rnacentral:rRNA from 1 species
GCGGUUAUACGAGGGACCCAAGUUGACAGAAAACGGCGUAAAGAGUGGUUAAUGAGAGACAUGAUAAAGCCAAAUACCAUCAAGGCUGUUAUACGCAUCCGAUAGCAAGAGGAACCCACACGAAAGUAGCUUUAGUAAGCAUGACCCCACGAAAGCUAGGGAA